GGAGGAAGGUGGGGAUGACGUCAAAUCAUCAUGCCCCUUAUGUCUUGGGCUUCACGCAUGCUACAAUGGCCGGUACAAAGGGCUGCAAUACCGUGAGGUGGAGCGAAUCCCAAAAAGCCGGUCCCAGUUCGGAUUGAGGUCUGCAACUCGACCUCAUGAAGUCGGAGUCGCUAGUAAUCGCAGAUCAGCAACGCUGCGGUGAAUACGUUCCCGGGUCUUG
rnacentral:rRNA from 1 species